rnacentral:rRNA from 1 species
AGAGCGACAGUUAAAGCAUCAUGGCAAAGGGUUUCAUGAACUUAAGAAAAGAUUAGAAUCUAGCAUCAACGAUGCCAAAAAGGUGCGGGACUGAUGGUACCCAUAGAAUAAGAGGUUGCUAACUCUGUGCCAGCAGCAGCGGUAAUACAGAGACCUCAAGCGUUAUCCGGAAUCAUUGGGCGUAAAGCGUACCGAUAGGUGGUUUUGAAAGUUUUGGGUAAAAGCCAGAAGCUCAACUUCUGAGUUUGCUCAAAAUACUGCAAAACUAGAGGGGCAAAGAGGAGACUGGAACGAACGGUGUAGUAGUGAAAUGCGUUGAUAUCGUUCGGAACACCGAAAGCGAAGGCAGGUCUCUGGGUGCCACCUGACACUGCUAGGACGAAAGCGUGGGGAGCGAAUGGGAUUAGAUACCCCAGUAGUCCACGCUGUAAACGAUGGAUAUUAGGCAUGCGCGAGUAUCGACCCUCGUGCGAGCCGUAGCUAACGCGUUAAAUAUCCCGCCUGUGUAGUACGGCCGCAAGGCUAAAACAUAAAGGAAUUGACGGGGACCCGCACAAGCGGUGGAGCAUGUGGUUUAAUUCGACGAUAAGCGAGGAACCUUACCAGGGUUUGACAUGUAUCUUCAAGCGCACGGAAACGUGUGAUCUUCGAGAGUGAUACACAGGUGCUGCACGGUUGUCGUCAGCUCGUGUCGUGAGAUGUUCCCUUAAGUGGGAGAACGAGCGCAACCCCCAUGUUAUGUUGAUUUUCAUAACAGACUGCCGGCGUUUAAGCUGGAGGAAGGCGGGGAUGACGUCAAAUCAGCGUGGUUUUUACACCCUGGGCGACACACGUGCUACAAUGGGUAGGAACAAAGGGACGCAAUACCGUAAGGUGGAGCAAAUCCUCUCAAAAACUACCCUCAGUUCGGAUUGAGGGCUGCAACUCGCCCUCAUGAAGCUGGAAUCGCUAGUAACCGUAGAUCAGCCUCGCUACGGUGAAUACGUUCUCGGGUUUUGUACACAAAUUAAAGGCGCCUGGCGGCUAUUAAAGCUAAGUGGUUUAAGUCCACUCGCUCGAUUUUCGAGUGUAGCGAACGGGUAGGUCUACUUCCGCG